AUUGAACGCUGGCGGCAUGCUUUACACAUGCAAGUCGAACGGCAGCACGGACUUCGGUCUGGUGGCGAGUGGCGAACGGGUGAGUAAUACAUCGGAGCGUGCCCGAGAGUGGGGGAUAACGAGGCGAAAGCUUUGCUAAUACCGCAUACGAUCUCAGGAUGAAAGCAGGGGACCGCAAGGCCUUGCGCUCACGGAGCGGCCGAUGGCAGAUUAGGUAGUUGGUGGGAUAAAAGCUUACCAAGCCGACGAUCUGUAGCUGGUCUGAGAGGACGACACGCCACACUGGGACUGAGACCCGGCCCAGACACCUACGGGAGGCAGCAGUGGGGAAUGUUGGAGAAUGGGCGCAAGCCUGAUCCAGCCAUGCCGCGUGCAGGAUGAAGGCCUUCGGGUUGUAAACUGCUUUUGUACGGAACGAAAAGACUCUGGUUAAUACCUGGGGUCCAUGACGGUACCGUAAGAAUAAGCACCGGCUAACUACGUGCCAGCAGCCGCCGUAAGAC
rnacentral:rRNA from 1 species